rnacentral:lncRNA from 1 species
AAAGAAGUAAAUAAUCUCUAUUUAGCAAAAAAACAAUAUUGGAGUGCACAAUACAAAAUUCUGAUCAAAAUAACAUAUUAAAAUUACAAAUCAGUCACACUGGACAUUAAGAUACACAUAAUAUGUGCAUCGUGUUGACAGUAGUAUCACUAUCCUAUCCAAGUGGAGUAACCCUUCUAAACCAAACUCAAGUGUCUUCUAUUCUAUCUCAAUUACCUACAAAAUAAUAGCAAAAAAAAUGUGAGAACUAUCGACAUGAGAAAUCUAUUAUGGGAAACAUUCAGACAAUCCUCUAUUUAAAAUGACACUAAUUAGCUCACCCGCAAAGAAAUGACAAGUGCAAGGAACAAUAUACAGCAACAUCAGAUAUUUCAAUUAACAUGCACAUUUUAGCAGCAGGCAGAAAAGGAUUUGGCAUGCAGAAAGAACACAAAAAUAAAUCAAAUAUAAAUAUUAAGAGUGAGAUGGUUGGGGGAAUAUCUAUCCUGGAAAAUUAGAGCAUCAAUGAGUUACUAUAUGUGGAUAGAACAAAUCUUUACUAAGAUCGUUGAAAUAAAUGUCCUACUGAAACAAAGAACAUGAAAUAUUAUUAAAUAUGUAUAUUUCAGUCAACAUGUCUGACGUGAAGCAUAUUUUCAGUCUUCCACUAAUAUCAAAACGACACAUGCAUACCUAGAAAUCACUAUAAGCAUUUUAUAAAAAAAUCAAGUAACAUGACUACCAUUAAAAUAUGCGCUGCUAACUGAUUUUAAUCUCCAACAAUACACCACCAAUGCUUUCAGGAAGCUAUUCAGACCCAAGUAAUUCCUGCUAGAAAUUGGCAUAAAAUCCAAAACACAUACAAAACUAUAUAAGUAAUACAGCGAGCUCCGAAAUAAAUCUAGAGUAACUAGUCAUCUAUCUACCUGUGCACAACAAGAAAAAUGGGUGCACCACAAAAUAAAUGUUAUCUUCUUCAUUCGAUUUUUCAAGAUUGUUGCCUUUUCAAGUCGCUAAGAAGCAGUUAAGUACAUUGCAAUUAUAUGAUUUUGGCACAAAGCAUUUCACAGGAAUUAGAGCACUAUGAGUUUUGAUCCAUUGUACAAAAAAAAAAGAUUUGACACAGCACAUGGAACUUCAAGCGGCUUGUUUGUGAUUUCGCUUCUUUGUCAAGUAUUUUAGGUACCUAUAGAAGGAGACAGGGAGAUAAAGAAUUUGCAUGUAUGAUGUAUCUAGAGAUUAAAUUGUACAGCUACAUGUGUGGGCAGUCGAGAGCUACAUGAAAGUUUAUUAUCCAAUAACCAGAAAUCAUAUAGGUUGAAAACUGCAUAGCUAAAACAAGCCCAUUAACUAUAAACAAUAAAUGUCAUAUUUAUAUGAAAAGAAAUUGGCGGAAAGAAAACAGAAAAUACUCUCCUUAUUCUUGAAUUUGAAAGCUUUGUGACCUCUAUAGUAAUCAUUUCAGUAAGUAUAGGACCAGAAUCAUGAACUGAAUUUUUAGUUAGAAGAACAAGCAUUGAAUUACGUGUAUUGUCAGUCAAGCUUACUUCCAGUAAACAUUGAGCCCUAGCAGAACAUAAGGGCAAGUAGAUGCUUGAGUAAAGUGUAUGAAUAACAUAAAGGGCAUGUUCAGGAAAGGGCUGUGCAGAUAUCAUCACCAAGUAAAAAAAUGUUUCCAGUCCAUGUGAGAUAUUCAAAUUAUGCAGGCAAGGGCAGUGCAGAUAUCAUCACCAAGUGAAAAAUGUUUUUAGCUGUACAAAGACCAUUAGAUGCACUAACCGAUGUGGGAUCCAUCACCAUUAUGUGCAUGCAGAAACAUUGGACACUGCAGUAAAAUGUACCUACAGAAUUUGCAGAUAUGAGUUUUUCUUCAGUUAGAUAUAAAAUGGUAUGAGUUUCUUAAUACUAAAAGCUGACAGGAUAAAUCUUGCAGGCCAUUACUCUGAAUUAUAAGUGUACAACUACAACACAAUGCUUGAACUGCAACAAGAACGGAGAUUUGCCUAAUACUUUUUGUUUGCAGUACAAAAAAUGAAUGUGCUUCACGAUGUGACUAGGAAGGAACAAAGCACAAACAAUCAGUAACGAACGAGUAACCCUCAGUGGUGCUCCUGC